ensembl:lncRNA
CUGGGGCAUUUCUAACGUUCCCACUGGGCUCAGCUUGCCUCCUUUCGGAGCUUUACCACAAGGUAAAAUGUUAAGCAGACACACUUUAAGAACUGCUUUUUUUAGAAACCAGCAUUGAGGAAUCCAUGGAAAACCCACCACGAACUGCCUCAGAAGCUCGCUUCUCAGGGGCCAAUGGGGGUCGUAGGUGUAGUUACCCUGCUCCUCCCUGAGCCCAUGCUGGCCAGUGGGAAGGAGGGUCACACAUCUUGGAAAAAACUCCAAGGUUUUUCAUCAUCUCAGAAUUCCUUACGCUGAAAUUUAAUGACCAAGCAAAAUGGCAGUUUAUUUCUAAUCAGGAGAGAUUGUUCUUUUCUCCUUUCCACUUCUUCAUCCCUCCCCGAUCACAGAGAGGAAAAGAAUGGCCCUUCUCUGCUCCUGACUCAGAAUGCACAUCAGCCAAAGUCAGAAGGACAAACCCUCCUCCAGAGCGACUGUCCCCACCUCUGCUGCAAGCCCACUUCUGGUGGCAAUUCAUUGCCCGCCUCCUACACACCAUUUCCGGGACAAAUUCCACCUGGAAGAGUUCAGGGACAGAAAAAGCUUGUUCCUCGUAAAGAAC